rnacentral:rRNA from 1 species
GGGCCCGCACAAGCGGUGGAGCAUGUGGUUUAAUUCGAUGAUACGCGAGGAACCUUACCAGGGCUUAAAUGCAGAACGACAGAGGUGGAAACACCUCCUUCUUCGGACGGUCUGCAAGGUGCUGCAUGGUUGUCGUCAGCUCGUGCUGUGAAGUGUCGGGUUAAGUCCCAUAACGAGCGCAACCCCUAUUUCUAGUUGCCAGCGGUUCGGCCGGGGACUCUAGAGAAACUGCCAGCGUAAGCUGUGAGGAAGGUGGGGAUGACGUCAAAUCAUCACGGCCCUUACAUCCUGGGCCACACACGUGCUACAAUGGUGGGGACAACAGGUUGCCAACCCGCGAGGGUGAG